rnacentral:tRNA from 3 species
UCGCGGGGUGGAGCAGUCUGGUAGCUCGUCGGGCUCAUAACCCGAAGGUCGCAGGUUCAAAUCCUGCCCCCGCAAU